UUAACAAAGAAUCAAGCAUUGCAUCAGCUGGGAAGAAAACAAAUUCAUAAAGACUAUCAAAUCACCAAAGGCAUGUAAUGAGCACACACCCAUUAUGUUUAUUUCCUCUGGACCCUUGUCAGAUUCUGUAAGAUACUUGAUGCAAGAGCAGU